AACGCAUAUUGCGCCCUUUGGUAUUCCGAAGGGCAUGCCUGUUCGAGCGUCAUUCAUACCAUAUCAAGCUAGGCUUGUUGUUGGGCCCUUUGUCACUGGGUGACAGGUCCGAAAGACAAUGGCCGGUGUCAUAACAGACUCCCUAUGCAACGAGCUUAUAAUGGCACGCAUCUGGUGGUUAUGUGACCCGGUUUGCACCCUUCAAAACUUUCUCAAGGUUGACCUCGGAUCAGGUAGGAAUACCCGCUGAACUUAA
rnacentral:misc_RNA from 1 species